AUACCUUCUCGGCCUUUUGGCUAAGAUCAAGUGUAGUAUCUGUUCUUAUCAGUUUAAUAUCUGAUACGUGGGACAUCGUUCCACAUGAUAUUAAAUAAUUUCUCUAGGGACUGGGCUCAUACAGUAGCUUGCUAUAGAGUCCUCAGGCGUGCCCUUGUGUUGCAAUACUACUUGGGCCUGGCGCAUCCCAA